CUGCUACUACAGAACGUAUACAAAAAUUGGAAUGAUACAAAAAAGAUUAGCAUGACCCCUGCUCAAGAAUGACACGCAAACUCAUGAAGAAUUCUAUAUUUUA